rnacentral:rRNA from 1 species
AUUGAACGCUGGCGGCAUGCUUUACACAUGCAAGUCGAACGGUAACAGGCCUUCGGGUGCUGACGAGUGGCGAACGGGUGCGUAAUGCAUCGGAACGUACCCAGAGGUGGGGGAUAACGCAGCGAAAGCUGUGCUAAUACCGCAUGUGAUCUGAGGAUGAAAGCGGGGGACCGAGCAGCAAUGUUUGGCCUCGCGCCUUUGGAGCGGCCGAUGUCGGAUUAGCUAGUUGGUGGGGUAAAGGCCUACCAAGGCGACGAUCCGUAGCUGGUCUGAGAGGACGAUCGGCCACACUGGGACUGAGACACGGCCCAGACUCCUACGGGAGGCAGCAGUGGGGAAUUUUGGACAAUGGGCGCAAGCCUGAUCCAGCAAUGCCGCGUGAGUGAAGAAGGCCUUCGGGUUGUAAACCGCUUUUGGCAGGAACGAAACGGUGUCCGCUAAUACCGGGCGCUAAUGACGGUACCUGCAGAAUAAGCACCGGCUAACUACGUG